CAUGACAACAGGUAUUCGUUGGAGAGAGCAGGAGAAUGCCUUGAUAUUGGAUUUGGUCGCAAAAAAGUACUAAAUGAAAAAAAUCUGCAAAGUUCUAAAAACGUCAGAGUUUUAUACCAUGAACCGUUGGCGAAUCCUCUUAACUACUUGGAUGGUUUAACAAAUUAUCAAGUUUCUUACAUUGGGCAUCAGUGUACGGUGCCUUCAUUAUACAGAAGAUUCCCAAAACAUCACCUUGAGAAGUCAAACCGCAUGAAGAUCGAACCAGCGCCCUACACAUAAAUUGAAGACUAUCCACUAUUGCUUCCCAGUAUGCUCUAAUUUGUAUCUGCCAAAUGCAUUUCAUUUUAUAAGUUAGAACUAUUAUAGUGGCAUAGUCUGUUCUUCAUGCCUAAGGUAUAAAUGUUUAUUCAGGCUAUUAACAUUUUGUAUGAUCUUAGCUUCAAUUGUUUCAGCUUUAGAAUGUUUUCAAACUAAGAAAUAAAGUGGUAAAAACAGAA